rnacentral:rRNA from 1 species
GACGAACGCUGGCGGCGUGCCUAAUACAUGCAAGUCGAGCGGACUGAUUAAGAGCUUGCUCUUAUGACGUUAGCGGCGGACGGGUGAGUAACACGUGGGCAACCUGCCCUGUAGAUCGGGAUAACACCGAGAAAUCGGUGCUAAUACCGGGUAAUAUCUGAGAUCACAUGAUCUUAGGUUAAAAGAUGGCUCCGGCUAUCACUACAGGAUGGGCCCGCGGCGCGUUAGCUAGUUGGUAAGGAAAUGGCUUACAAAGGCGACGAUACGAAGCCGCCCUGAGAGAGGGAUCUGCCACACACGGGCACAGACACGCCCCCGACACUUCCGGGAGGCGGCGCAAGGGAAUCUCCCGCAAUGGACGCGAGUCUUACGGAGCAACGCCGCGUGUGUGAUGAAGAGUUUCUGCUCGUGUAGCUCUGUUGUUAGGGAAGAAACAGUACCGAACGAACUAGGUCGGUACCUUGACGGUACCUAACCAGAAAGCCACGGCUAACUACGUG